rnacentral:rRNA from 1 species
UACGGAGGGUGCGAGCGUUGUCCGGAAUCACUGGGCGUAAAGGGCGCGUAGGCGGCCUGAUAAGUAGGGGGUGAAAUCCUGCGGCUUAACCGCAGGGCUGCCUUCUAAACUGUCGGGCUAGAGCACGGUAGAGGCAGAUGGAAUUCCCGGUGUAGCGGUGGAAUGCGUAGAGAUCGGGAAGAACAUCGGUGGCGAAGGCGGUCUGCUGGGCCGUUGCUGACGCUGAGGCGCGACAGCGUGGGGAGCAAACAGG